CACAAUCACUUCACAAUUCUGGACAUGGUAUUAGAACCCAGAAACAGGGAAAAAAAAUCUGUUUCUCCUCCAAGCAUCACAACUUUCAUUUGACUCAAUUAUACACUUACAGCAAUCAAAUCAACUACACUUCCAGGCAGAAUCAUGGUUGUUAAGGGAUAAAUCGCACACCUUUUAUAGAUGGAACAAAUAACCAAUUACAUUCUUGAAGACACAACAAUUGCCAAUUCAAACAAGGCUCAUGAGCUAAACUCAGACAACACCUGGCACUCUGCCAAUCUGCUAAGUCUUGGCCUUAUGCAUUAACCGUGUCCUGAUAAUUUUCAAUGCAGCCAACUGCAGAUAUUGUGGAAGCACUUUUUUCUAUUUUAACUUUGUAUUUCAUAUCAUUAUCUCAGUCUUUUAUCAAGCUAUACAUGUUGUAUAUUCAGUUAAUAGAAAUUAAGAAAUUUCAAUCUCCAUUCUCAUCUUCAUAUGGUAUCAGAUCCAUAAUUCUCUCAUGAGAUAAUCUCCAUUUUUAUUUUUUCCUUCUUCCUUGAAAUUCAGCUCUCAAUGGCCAUUGAAGCUGCCACUAAGUGACACUACAGUUACCCAAUCAGCACAUUCUCCUUCUAUCCUUGUUCAAAUUAAUGCUGCUACCCAACUCCAUUUAUAUCUUGCUUCAUCUAAUCGUUUUUCUGGAAGGUCCAAUUCACAUCCUUUCUCUAUGGUCUCAAUUUGCUCAUCCUGUCCACCGGAACUUACUGUUGAAGGUGUCUCAAAAUCUAAUCCUGAUUACAUCUUUUGACAUGCCAAGACAAGAUGUAGUUCCACUAACUAUGACAUAUGAAAUCAUGUUUCCAACAAGCUCAGGGAGAUCUGCCUUUAGGUGAUCUAGCUUAACAUUUAUUUAUUUAUUUAUUUUCCUUAAACAUUGAUUCAAUUAAUUUUACUGUGCAAUGUCUUUUGUUAAGAGCUUAUAAAUAAGAAAGUGCCAAGGGACAACAAUUCAAUAGAAAGGUCAUGAUACCUUGUUAUUAUUUAACAAUAGUAUAAAAGGGAAAUGACAAUGUAAUUUAAAAGAGACAACAUUUGGGAGGACAAUAUUGUACUAUGCUUUAUUAAUUUCUUCAUAAUCUGCAGUUAGGCAGAACCAUCA
rnacentral:lncRNA from 1 species